AGAGUUUGAUCCUGGCUCAGGACGAACGCUGGCGGCGUGCUUAACACAUGCAAGUCGAACGAUGAAGGGGGAGCUUGCUCCUCCGGAUUAGUGGCGAACGGGUGAGUAAUACGUGAGCAAUGUGCCCUUGACUCUGGGAUAAGCGCUGGAAACGGCGUCUAAUACCGGAUACGACCAUCGGAGGCAUCUCCUGGUGGUGGAAAGAACUUCGGUCAAGGAUCAGCUCACGGCCUAUCAGCUUGUUGGUGAGGUAGUGGCUCACCAAGGCGACGACGGGUAGCCGGCCUGAGAGGGUGACCGGCCACACUGGGACUGAGACACGGCCCAGACCCCUACGGGAGGCAGCAGUGGGGAAUAUUGCACAAUGGGCGCAAGCCUGAUGCAGCAACGCCGCGUGAGGGACGAAGGCCUUCGGGUUGUAAACCUCUUUUAGCAGGGAAGAAGCGAGAGUGACGGUACCUGCAGAAAAAGCACCGGCUAACUACGUGCCAGCAGCCGCGGUAAUACGUAGGGUGCAAGCGUUGUCCGGAAUUAUUGGGCGUAAAGAGCUCGUAGGCGGUUUGUCGCGUCUGCUGUGAAAACCCGAGGCUCAACCUCGGGCUUGCAGUGGGUACGGGCAGACUAGAGUGCGGUAGGGGAGAUUGGAAUUCCUGGUGUAGCGGUGGAAUGCGCAGAUAUCAGGAGGAACACCGAUGGCGAAGGCAGAUCUCUGGUCCGUAACUGACGCUGAGGAGCGAAAGCGUGGGGAGCAAACAGGAUUAGAUACCCUGGUAGUCCACGCCGUAAACGAUGAGUGCUAGGUGUUAGGGGUUUCGAUGCCCUUAGUGCCGAAGUUAACACAUUAAGCACUCCGCCUGGGGAGUACGACCGCAAGGUUGAAACUCAAAGGAAUUGACGGGGGCCCGCACAAGCAGUGGAGCAUGUGGUUUAAUUCGAAGCAACGCGAAGAACCUUACCAGGUCUUGACAUCCUUUGACCACUCUAGAGAUAGAGCUUUCCCCUUCGGGGGACAAAGUGACAGGUGGUGCAUGGUUGUCGUCAGCUCGUGUCGUGAGAUGUUGGGUUAAGUCCCGCAACGAGCGCAACCCUUGAUCUUAGUUGCCAGCAUUUAGUUGGGCACUCUAAGGUGACUGCCGGUGACAAACCGGAGGAAGGUGGGGAUGACGUCAAAUCAUCAUGCCCCUUAUGACCUGGGCUACACACGUGCUACAAUGGAUGGUACAAAGAGCAGCGAAACCGCGAGGUUAAGCCAAUCUCAUAAAGCCAUUCUCAGUUCGGAUUGUAGGCUGCAACUCGCCUACAUGAAGCCGGAAUUGCUAGUAAUCGCGGAUCAGCAUGCCGCGGUGAAUACGUUCCCGGGCCUUGUACACACCGCCCGUCACACCACGAGAGUUUGUAACACCCGAAGUCGGUGGAGUAACCCUUAUGGGAGCUAGCCGCCUAAGGUGGGACAGAUGAUUGGGGUGAAGUCGUAACAAGGUA
rnacentral:rRNA from 1 species